GGGAAAAAAGAUUGCAAGGGGCACAGCAGCUGCAGCUGGAGAGGGGAGUGAGAAUAUGUGAGAAAUAGCCCUGCAGACUCCCAGGUCCAUGAAGAAGGAGGAGGAGGAGAUGCUCCAGACGCCGGAGCAGAGAUUCCCCUGCAGCCCGUGGGGAAGACCAUGGUGAGGCAGGCUGUCCCCCUGCA